CGGUAUUUCGUCUGCCGUUACGUUCUGAGUUCAAAUUCCGCCGAGGUCGACUUUGCCUUUCAUCUUUUCGGGGUCUAUAAAUUAAGUACCAGUUGCGUACUGGAGUCGAUCUAAUCGACUGCCCCGACACCAAUAAAUUUCGGGCUUUGUCCUUAGAGUAGAAAA